rnacentral:lncRNA from 1 species
GGGAAGUUGUGUUGAAUUGGUAUCUGAAUCUACAACGAGGUAUGUAAAGCAUACUCUAACAAUGUUCUUUGGCAUGAAAACACCAAUGUUCCAUCAAGUAAGAUUCCGAGGUUGUCCAAAAACAUGUAUUGUUCUACGUUACCAACGAAGUUGUUUCCAUUCUAUAAAGUGUCAAAAUGUUUCAUUGAUAUACCAAAAGGCUCUUAUUUCAUUGUUGUGAUAUUGAUGAUUCUGAAACACAUUGUUGAUGUACCAAUGAGUCUUUAUUACAUCGUUAUUGUAUAGAAGGUCUAUUACUUGGUUCCUAUUGAUGUAUCAUUGUUUCAAGGUAUCAAAAAUGUGGUGACGACCGAAAUAACAAUCUCAAAGAUUAAUUGAACUAAGUGAUGGGAGUUCUCUCUUAUCGGGUGGUAUCCCAGGGGCAUAAGCCUAGCAUGGGUCGAUCCCUAUUUCAUGUGUUUAUGGGUGGUAUCCCAGGGGCAUAAGCCUAGCAUGGGUCGAUCCCAGUUGAUAUGUACUGGAGGCAUCCUAAUGGUCACAGUACAGUACAGUAAUGAUUACAAAGACGAUAAGAACGAAGGUAAAGUGAUUGAAUAAAUACAAUGUACAGGUUGUCACAAGUUCUAGUAAGUGUGGUCCACUCCUAUUACGACUUAUUCACUUGUUUCUGAUUUCUAUUAAGCUCCUAGAUCAUAUGUGAUUAUUUACAGCUUUACAUGCUCAGUACAUAUUUCGUACUGACGUCCCUCACGGGGGACCUGCAUUUCAUGCUGCAGGCACAGGUACCUCAACUCAUAUACCGCACAAGUAGGAGCCAGGUCAUACAGCUAUUGUUGGUGAGCUCCAGUUUGCUUCGGAGCUUUCCGAGUCGGUUCCUUAUGUUUUGUUAUUGUACAUGAGUCACGUGUGGGCGGGGGUUUGUCCCGACCCUAGUUAUGUCAUGUAUAUCCUAGAGGCUUUGUAGACAUAAGGAAGGGUAAAGUCAUGGAAGUUUAUAU